GAUGAACGCUGGCGGCGUGCCUAAUACAUGCAAGUCGAGCGAACGGACGAGAAUCUCGCUUCUCUGAUGUUAGCGGCGGACGGGUGAGUAACACGUGGACAACCCAUCUCUAAGACUGGGAUAACUUCGGGAAACCGGAGCUAAUACCGGAUGAUAUUUUGAACCGCAUGGUUCAAUAGUGAUAGACGGUCUUGCUGUCACUUAUAGACGUAUCCGCGCUGCAUUAGCUAGUUGGUAAGGUAACGGCUUACCAAGGCAACGAUGCAUAGCCGACCUGAGAGGGUGGUCGGCCACACUGGAAGUGAGACGCGGUCCAGACUCCUACGGGAGGGAGCAGAAGAGAAUCUUACGCAAGGGGCGAGAGCCUGACGGAGCAACGCCGCGUCAGUGAUGAAGGUCUUGGGAUCGGGAAACUCUGUUUUUAGGGGAGAACAUAUGUGUAAGUAACUGUGCAGAACUUGACGGUACCUGAUGAAAAAGCCACGGCUAACUACGUG
rnacentral:rRNA from 1 species